UCAGAAACUCAAAGGAAUUGACGGGGGCCCGCACAAGCGGUGGAGUAUGUGGUUUAAUUCGAUGCAACGCGAAGAACCUUACCUGGUCUUGACAUCCCGGAGACCCUUAGGAAACUAGGGGGUGCUUCCAUCUGGAAGAAUCUGGAGACAGGUGCUGCAUGGCUGUCGUCAGCUCGUGUCGUGAGAUGUUGGGUUAAGUCCCGCAACGAGCGCAACCCUUGCCUUUAGUUGCCAGCAGUUCGGCUGGGCACUCUAAAGGGACUGCCGGUGUUAAACCGGAGGAAGGUGGGGAUGACGUCAAGUCCUCAUGGCCUUUAUGACCAGGGCUACACACGUACUACAAUGGCCGAUACAAAGGGCAGCGACACUGCGAGGUGAAGCCAAUCCCGUAAAAUCGGUCUCAGUCCGGAUUGGAGUCUGCAACUCGACUCCAUGAAGUUGGAAUCGCUAGUAAUCGUGGAUCAGCAUGCCACGGUGAAUACGUUCCCGGGCCUU
rnacentral:rRNA from 1 species